rnacentral:rRNA from 1 species
ACAUGCAAGUCGGGCGAGGACUUCGGUCCUAGCGGCGGACGGGUGAGUAACGCGUGGGAACGUGCCCUUUGGUACGGAAUAGCCCCGGGAAACUGGGAGUAAUACCGUAUGGUGUCUUCGGACUAAAGAUUUAUCGCCAAAGGAUCGGCCCGCGUUGGAUUAGGUAGUUGGUGGGGUAAUGGCCUACCAAGCCGACGAUCCAUAGCUGGUUUGAGAGGAUGAUCAGCCACACUGGGACUGAGACACGGCCCAGACUCCUACGGGAGGCAGCAGUGGGGAAUCUUAGACAAUGGGGGCAACCCUGAUCUAGCCAUGCCGCGUGAGUGAUGAAGGCCCUAGGGUUGUAAAGCUCUUUCAGCUGGGAAGAUAAUGACGGUACCAGCAGAAGAAGCCCCGGCUAACUCCGUG